AGGCAUGGCCCCUGCGCAAGGAUGACACGCAAAUUCGUGAAGCGUUCCUCAUUUUU
rnacentral:snRNA from 15 species